AAAUUUCUUCAUAGAUAAGAACUCCUCAGUACUUUUGUUUUUCAUUUUUAAGUUCUUAAAUUGCUAUUAAAUCAUUAGCAACUUUUUUAAAAAUUUAGGUUUCCAUUAUCAUAUUCUCCAAAUUUCAUUUUCGAAAAUUUUCGAAAAUUUCCCGAAAUUUUUUUCAUGUGGUUCAAAAAGAAAUCAUCUGAUGUGCAUAUUAAUCUAACCGGUUUGGAAAUAUCAUUGGAUCUGCGGUGCGAACAGUAAAUCCAGCGGUGCCAAUAGCAGAUUUGGUUUAGGUUUUCAGAUUUUCCUGAAUUUUUUCUCUGCGUUUUGCGUUCCUGUUCUUCUUCAUCUUCUGAAAUUUGAAUCGGAACAACUCCGGUUUGAGUGAAAUCGGUGCGCGAGGCGGAGAAUAGGUGAUCGGUGGUUCGCCUUCAAACGGUGCAAACAACGGUGGCAAAUGUCAGUUCGCUGCGAAAUCCAAUUAAAACGGUGUGGUGUUGAAAGAAUCACGAACGGAGGUUUUUGCAUUUCCGGCAACCUAAAUCGGUGAACGGAAGUGGCGUUUCUGGCGAACGAAAGUGGUUGAAAUGUUGCUUCAUUUUGUUCAUCUUAAAAUGGAAUCGGUGAAGAACUGUUUCCUUUGUUCGGAGCUGUUUGGUGCGAAACGGUAAAAUUUCUUUUUGGUAAAGUCCGUGAUUUGUUUGAAGCUGAAAUUGGCGAAUGAAAUUGAUUGGUAAAAAGGAAAAAUAGUUGCGCGGUUCUGUUUGAAUUCCGCUUCUGGAAAUUUUUGGCGAGUUGCAUUUUCGUUGAGUUUGUGUGUUGGUGAAUUGUGGUAGUGGAUUGUUCAAGCAUAUUACAUUUUGGUUGAAACUGCAGAUCAACUGUUUGAUAAAAGUAUUGAAGAAGCAGUUUUCAAUUUAAAUCUUUGGAGCUUGGUGGAAAUUACUGAUUGGUUUUAGUGCAGUUCAUUGGGAAUCAAUUUACACUGUUUUUACUGGUUUGGUGGCUGUUUUUGUUUUUACUGUAUACUGUGAUUUCAAUUUUGGUGUUUUUAGUACAAUUCAAACCACUGUAUCGAUUGUCAUUGCAUCACUGGAACGUGAAUAUCACAGUGGCGUUAGUGGUAUAAUUCUGUUGCUGCAGAUUUUGCUCAAUUGGCACUGGUUUUCAUUGGUGCAAAGUUCUGUUCCAGAUUUUAAUUGAAAACACUUGUGCUGUUUCAAUACAUUUGCUGGUUCUAUACAAUUGCUUUAGCUGAAGCGAGUGCUGAAUUGGUGCAGCUGUAACUUGAAUUUUCUUUUCCAAAUUUGCGUUAGUGAUAUCCUGCUUUGGUUUGAAUCUGAAAAUCACACUGCGGGACCCAGUUGGUGAAUUUUUUUAUUUAAACAAAUGCGCGGGGCCGACGAGAAAUUGAUUGAAAUUGUUGAAUUUGAAGCAAUUAACAUUUGGCUGUCACGUUGUGUUCAAAAUUUGGUGAACUUGUGAAUUCAAUCAACAAAUGCGUAUUGGCUUGAACGUGAGAAUAAUGGUGU
rnacentral:lncRNA from 1 species